CCUUCAAUCUUCAAUCGUUCAUCGUCUUUCCGUUCGUGGUCUAUCUCUCUCGAUUUCCCGUAGACCUAUCACUCUCGGUCGGGAAAUGAGAAAAUAAGCAGAAAUUUUUAAUAUUUCACUAACUCUCUAUUCCCCAAUUUCUAUUUCUAUCAUUUACCACACAAAGACAACCCUAAUCAUUCUCUCUUCUAUCUUUUCCCCAUGGAUGGCUUGUUCUAUCCUCUGUAUCGUUUCCCACUGAUGGUACACAGAUAGUCAUAGCCAUUCUUCUUUUCUUUCACUAAAUUUUUUUUGCUCCAGUGCCUCCUCUUAGCCAUGGCUAGGGCUACCAUAAAGGUUUAUUUCUUCAUAAUGGAGAGGGGUUAGUCCUCUUCAAAAUCUCUGUUCCAGAAGUUUCUUCAUCGCCAGCAAAGAUUUUAAGGGUGGUGAUUUAUGGCUUGUUUGGAUAUUCAGAUGGAUGUAAAGAAUCAAUAUUAUGCAACUAUAUGGGUGCUCAAGAUAUGCAUUUUCGAGAAAAUGAGUGUGUGAACAUGCUUAUUCUUUGGCUCAAAAUAUGGAUCCUGACAGUGAAGGAAGAGGAGUUCUACAAUUUAAAACUGGAUUGAUGUCUUUCAUUAAGCAAAAACUUGCAAAAAAAGGAUGGAGGAGUUAUAGAUAGAAGCCAAGACAUUGCUCUUUUGCAAGAUUUCUACAAACUCUAUCGAGAGCGGAAUGAUGUGGAAACGAGAAGAAGAGUUGAAUUUAAGGGAGACUGGGGCUUUCAGUGGAGACUUGGGCGAGUUGGAGAGAAAGACAGUUAAGAGGAAAAGAGUUUUUGCUACUUUAAAAGUUCUAGGCACAGUCCUUCAACAACUGACUGAGGAAAUUCCUGAUGAGCUGAGACGUGUGAUGGAAACUGAUGCAGCUAUGACAGACGACUUAAUUGCUUGUAAUAUUAUUCCACUUGAUGCUCCUAGCCCAACAAAUCAUAUUGGGUUUUUCCUCGAGGUAAUUAGUUUAACAGUUUAUGUUUCAAGUCCAAAAUUUUGUUGUUUGUACCACCUUUUGGAAUAAAAAAUUUAUGAAUAGAACAAGAAAUUUAUGAACAGGUUCAAGCAGCAAUCUCAGUGUUAAAGUAUAGGGGACUGCUAAAAUUGCCCGAGGAUUUUCCCAUCCCUGCUACAAGAAAAGCUGAUGUUCUUGAUUUUCUGCACUACAUUUUUGGAUUUCAGAGAUGACUCUCUAGUCACUGAAGUGGAGCCUUAUAUUCCUUUUAAUUUCAACCCAGCAGGAAUGUAGCCUGUUCUUACCACUAAUUAUCUGUUGGCCGUCCCCAGCAUUCUUGCUUUACAGAUGACGUUAUAGUCACUGGGGUCUUAACUGCAAGGUGGUCACCUGACUUAAAAGAUGUUCGCUGCGACCUUGAUCCUGUGUUGAUUGCUAAUCAUGUGAGGUAAAUGUAACAGCUCUGUUUGAAAGAAGAAACAUUUUUCAUUGUUGAGAUGGUUGUUGUUCCAUUGGAGUCAUACAUGGUACUAAAGAGAGGUAGUUCUUUUAAUUUCAUAAACUCUGCUUAGCCUUGGUGAACCUUGAUCCCAUCUUUCUUAUAAUGCAUGGGAUUUCACUUAUGCAGCUGGUUGAUGUUUCGAAGGGAUAGAAAAUGAUUUGGUGGUAACUCUUUUAAGGGAUGCUAAAGUAGUAUCAGAUAGAUUGAAAUAACUACCGAUACUGAAAAGAGGCUCAAAACUUGUUACAAACUUACAAAUAUAUUUCUAUAUUAAAAUAAUGCG